UUAAGCGACUAAGCGUACACGGUGGAUGCCCUGGCAGUCAGAGGCGAUGAAGGACGUGCUAAUCUGCGAUAAGCGUCGGUAAGGUGAUAUGAACCGUUAUAACCGGCGAUUUCCGAAUGGGGAAACCCAGUGUGAUUCGUCACACUAUCAUUAACUGAAUCCAUAGGUUAAUGAGGCGAACCGGGGGAACUGAAACAUCUAAGUACCCCGAGGAAAAGAAAUCAACCGAGAUUCCCCCAGUAGCGGCGAGCGAACGGGGAGCAGCCCAGAGCCUGAAUCAGUGUGUGUGUUAGUGGAAGCGUCUGGAAAGGCGCGCGAUACAGGGUGACAGCCCCGUACACAAAAAUGCACAUGCUGUGAGCUCGAUGAGUAGGGCGGGACACGUGGUAUCCUGUCUGAAUAUGGGGGGACCAUCCUCCAAGGCUAAAUACUCCUGACUGACCGAUAGUGAACCAGUACCGUGAGGGAAAGGCGAAAAGAACCCCGGCGAGGGGAGUGAAAAAGAACCUGAAACCGUGUACGUACAAGCAGUGGGAGCACGCUUCGGCGUGUGACUGCGUACCUUUUGUAUAAUGGGUCAGCGACUUAUAUUCUGUAGCAAGGUUAACCGAAUAGGGGAGCCGAAGGGAAACCGAGUCUUAACUGGGCGUUAAGUUGCAGGGUAUAGACCCGAAACCCGGUGAUCUAGCCAUGGGCAGGUUGAAGGUUGGGUAACACUAACUGGAGGACCGAACCGACUAAUGUUGAAAAAUUAGCGGAUGACUUGUGGCUGGGGGUGAAAGGCCAAUCAAACCGGGAGAUAGCUGGUUCUCCCCGAAAGCUAUUUAGGUAGCGCCUCGUGAAUUCAUCUCCGGGGGUAGAGCACUGUUUCGGCAAGGGGGUCAUCCCGACUUACCAACCCGAUGCAAACUGCGAAUACCGGAGAAUGUUAUCACGGGAGACACACGGCGGGUGCUAACGUCCGUCGUGAAGAGGGAAACAACCCAGACCGCCAGCUAAGGUCCCAAAGUCAUGGUUAAGUGGGAAACGAUGUGGGAAGGCCCAGACAGCCAGGAUGUUGGCUUAGAAGCAGCCAUCAUUUAAAGAAAGCGUAAUAGCUCACUGGUCGAGUCGGCCUGCGCGGAAGAUGUAACGGGGCUAAACCAUGCACCGAAGCUGCGGCAGCGACGCUGAUGCGUUGUUGGGUAGGGGAGCGUUCUGUAAGCCUGUGAAGGUGUGCUGUGAGGCAUGCUGGAGGUAUCAGAAGUGCGAAUGCUGACAUAAGUAACGAUAAAGCGGGUGAAAAGCCCGCUCGCCGGAAGACCAAGGGUUCCUGUCCAACGUUAAUCGGGGCAGGGUGAGUCGACCCCUAAGGCGAGGCCGAAAGGCGUAGUCGAUGGGAAACAGGUUAAUAUUCCUGUACUUGGUGUUACUGCGAAGGGGGGACGGAGAAGGCUAUGUUGGCCGGGCGACGGUUGUCCCGGUUUAAGCGUGUAGGCUGGUUUUCCAGGCAAAUCCGGAAAAUCAAGGCUGAGGCGUGAUGACGAGGCACUACGGUGCUGAAGCAACAAAUGCCCUGCUUCCAGGAAAAGCCUCUAAGCAUCAGGUAACAUCAAAUCGUACCCCAAACCGACACAGGUGGUCAGGUAGAGAAUACCAAGGCGCUUGAGAGAACUCGGGUGAAGGAACUAGGCAAAAUGGUGCCGUAACUUCGGGAGAAGGCACGCUGAUAUGUAGGUGAAGUCCCUCGCGGAUGGAGCUGAAAUCAGUCGAAGAUACCAGCUGGCUGCAACUGUUUAUUAAAAACACAGCACUGUGCAAACACGAAAGUGGACGUAUACGGUGUGACGCCUGCCCGGUGCCGGAAGGUUAAUUGAUGGGGUCAGCGCAAGCGAAGCUCUUGAUCGAAGCCCCGGUAAACGGCGGCCGUAACUAUAACGGUCCUAAGGUAGCGAAAUUCCUUGUCGGGUAAGUUCCGACCUGCACGAAUGGCGUAAUGAUGGCCAGGCUGUCUCCACCCGAGACUCAGUGAAAUUGAACUCGCUGUGAAGAUGCAGUGUACCCGCGGCAAGACGGAAAGACCCCGUGAACCUUUACUAUAGCUUGACACUGAACAUUGAGCCUUGAUGUGUAGGAUAGGUGGGAGGCUUUGAAGUGUGGACGCCAGUCUGCAUGGAGCCGACCUUGAAAUACCACCCUUUAAUGUUUGAUGUUCUAACGUUGACCCGUAAUCCGGGUUGCGGACAGUGUCUGGUGGGUAGUUUGACUGGGGCGGUCUCCUCCUAAAGAGUAACGGAGGAGCACGAAGGUUGGCUAAUCCUGGUCGGACAUCAGGAGGUUAGUGCAAUGGCAUAAGCCAGCUUGACUGCGAGCGUGACGGCGCGAGCAGGUGCGAAAGCAGGUCAUAGUGAUCCGGUGGUUCUGAAUGGAAGGGCCAUCGCUCAACGGAUAAAAGGUACUCCGGGGAUAACAGGCUGAUACCGCCCAAGAGUUCAUAUCGACGGCGGUGUUUGGCACCUCGAUGUCGGCUCAUCACAUCCUGGGGCUGAAGUAGGUCCCAAGGGUAUGGCUGUUCGCCAUUUAAAGUGGUACGCGAGCUGGGUUUAGAACGUCGUGAGACAGUUCGGUCCCUAUCUGCCGUGGGCGCUGGAGAACUGAGGGGGGCUGCUCCUAGUACGAGAGGACCGGAGUGGACGCAUCACUGGUGUUCGGGUUGUCAUGCCAAUGGCACUGCCCGGUAGCUAAAUGCGGAAGAGAUAAGUGCUGAAAGCAUCUAAGCACGAAACUUGCCCCGAGAUGAGUUCUCCCUGACUCCUUGAGAGUCCUGAAGGAACGUUGAAGACGACGACGUUGAUAGGCCGGGUGUGUAAGCGCAGCGAUGCGUUGAGCUAACCGGUACUAAUGAACCGUGAGGCUUAACCUU
rnacentral:rRNA from 1 species